rnacentral:rRNA from 1 species
UGGUUGAUCCUGCCGAAGGCUACUGCUAUUGGAGUUCGAUUAAGCCAUGCGAGUCUAAGGGAUCUUCGGAUCCCUGGCGUAAUGCUCAGUAACACGUGGAUAAUCUACCCUCAGGUGGGGCAUAAACCCGGGAAACUGGGGCCAAUUCCCCAUAAAUACAGAUGGCUGGAAUGCUUCUGUAUUCAAAGCUCCGGCGCCUGAGGAUGAGUCUGCGGCCUAUCAGGUUGUAGUCAGGGUCAAGACCUGACUAGCCAGCGACGGGUAUGGGGUGUGAGAGCACUUGCCCAGAGAUGGUUUCUGAGACACGAAACCAGGCCCUACGGGGCGCAGCAGGCGCGAAAACUUCGCAAUGCGGGAAACCGUGACGAGGGAACUCCGAGUGUCUAUGCAUUGCAUAGACUGUUUUUUAGCCUAAAUAGCUAUUAGAGUAAGGGGUGGGCAAGACCGGUGCCAGCCGCCGCGGUAACACCGGCACCCCGAGUGGUAGCCACUAUUAUUGGGCCUAAAGCGUUCGUAGCCGGUUUGGUAAAUUCUUGGGUAAAUCGUACCGCUCAACGGUGCGGAUUCCGGGGACACUACCAGACUUGAGACCGGGGGAGAUCAGAGGUACUUGCGGGGGAGCGGUGAAAUGUUGUAAUCCCGCAGGGACCACCAGUGGCGAAGGCGUCUGAUCAGAACGGCUCUGACGGUGAGGAACGAAACCCUGGGGCGCAAACGGGAUUAGAUACCCCGGUAGUCCAGGGCGUAAACGCUGCUGACUUGGUGUUGGGGAUCCUACGAGGAUGUCCAGUGCUGGCGCGAAGGUAUUAAGUCAGCCGCCUGGGGAGUACGGUCGCAAGACUGAAACUUAAAGGAAUUGGCGGGGGAGCACUGCAACGUGUGGAGCGUGCGGUUUAAUUGGACUCAACGCCGGGA